rnacentral:rRNA from 1 species
UACAGAGGUCUCGAGCGUUAGGCGGAAUCACUGGGCUUAAAGCGUGUGUAGGCGGACUUGUAAGUACCUUGUGAAAUCCCACGGCUCACCCGUGGAACUGCUGGGUAUACUGCGAGUCUUGAGCCACUUAGGGGCUGUCGGAACAGGCGGUGGAGCGGUGAAAUGCGUAGAUAUCGCCUGGAACGCCAAAGGUGAAAACAGACAGCUGGGAGUGUGCUGACGCUGAGACACGAAAGCCAGGGGAGCGAACGGG